UACGUAGGUGGCAAGCGUUGUCCGGAUUUACUGGGCGUAAAGGGCGCGUAGGCGGCCAGCACAAGUCAGUUGUGAAAUCUCCGGGCUUAACUCGGAAAGGUCAACUGAUACUGUGCGGCUAGAGUGCAGAAGGGGCAACUGGAAUUCUCGGUGUAGCGGUGAAAUGCGUAGAUAUCGAGAGGAACACCUGCGGCGAAGGCGGGUUGCUGGGCUGACACUGACGCUGAUGCGCGAAAGCCAGGGGAGCGAACGGG
rnacentral:rRNA from 1 species